CCCUCCGUCCCCACCGACCAAGGGAAUGAGUAGCUCGCACCCAUGCACGUGCUCGCCGGCUAGAUCUAGGGGCGCACCAGGAUGCACAUGCACCCACCAGAACCCCUCCUCCUCUGCCUCUCACUCGCUUCCGCUGCUUCUUCUCUGGGGCGCAGGCAGGCGCGCCGGCUCUGUGCCUGCUCGUGCCUGAGCUGGCCAUUGCUGACCGGUUUCCUGGGCCGUCCGGCCGGUUUCUCGCUGGAUCCGACUGGGUUCUUGCUGUUUCGUUCGGGCUUCGGUCAAUUUUCCGCCCAGAUUCGUGGGUGCAUUCUUCUGCGGCUCAACUUUGGUCUCUCCUGCCCUCGGCUUCGUGCAGCCCCGCCUCGCCGACAGCAGAGGUGAUUCAUCCUCGACCCCAAGAAGCACAUCGACCUCGCCGUCGCAGUGCUCUCCCACUUCCUCGACCCCAAGAAGCUCGCCAGCCUCACUGACUAGUGUGACGGCCACAUCUACAUCUCUAAGCUUGACUGCAGGAGGGACCCUAUCCAUCAUCUGAUUCUGAUUGACGACUUCAAUCGAGAUUCCAUUCGAGGCUGUUGACCAAGCGAUCCAAUCCAAGGGGGUACUUUUGCAUUGCUGAUUGAAGUUGUGCUCUCCUUACCAGUCUUUUUAUUCUACUGUACUGUAUCAUCAUACAGACUUGUGGUUUCAGACUUUCAGUUCAGUUUGGUCAGAUAUAUCUCCUGCCAUGCUCUUCUAUUUGUGCUUAAUUGAUUCCUAGACGGCCGUGGCUAUCUAUCUUAGCCCCAUCUAUCAAGCGUAAUCAAUGUACUACUGCAAUGUUGAUCUGCAUCUUAUCUUAUCUGUGGGAAAAAUGAUGGAUUCGAAUUGCAGGAGCUGUCUUAA